rnacentral:rRNA from 1 species
GAUGAACGCUGGCGGCGUGCCUAAUACAUGCAAGUCGAGCGAACAGACGAGGAGCUUGCUCCUCUGACGUUAGCGGCGGACGGGUGAGUAACACGUGGAUAACCUACCUAUAAGACUGGGAUAACUUCGGGAAACCGGAGCUAAUACCGGAUAACAUGUUGAACCGCAUGGUUCAACAGUGAAAGACGGUCUUGCUGUCACUUAUAGAUGGAUCCGCGCCGCAUUAGCUAGUUGGUAAGGUAACGGCUUACCAAGGCAACGAUGCGUAGCCGACCUGAGAGGGUGAUCGGACACACUGGAACUGAGACACGGUCCAGACUCCUACGGGAGGCAGCAGUAGGGAAUCUUCCGCAAUGGGCGAAAUCCUGACGGAGCAACGCCGCGUGAGUGAAGAAGGUCUUCGGAUCGUAAAACUCUGUUAUUAGGGAAGAACAAAUGUGUAAGUAACUAUGCACGUCUUGACGGUACCUAAUCAGAAAGCCACGGCUAACUACGUG